GCGAUCUCGCGGAGGGCGUUCGUAACGGAAGCGUACAAGGCAUCAACUUAGCGUCCGAUAGAAAAACGGAACUCCUAGAAAUCGUACAUUCCGAUGUAUGCGGGCCGAUGCGCAUUGAAUCAAAUGGAAAAGCGAGGAUUACAAGGCCUUCGUCGAGAAGCAAACCGGAAGAAGCAUCAAAUACCUUCAGUCUGACAACGGGAA